rnacentral:misc_RNA from 1 species
UUCUCGAGAUCUGUGGAGAUCAGGUGAGAUCCCUCGAGAUCUGUCUCGAUCUGACGAGAUCUGUUUUCCUCUCUCUGGAUCUAUGGCGAGCUCGUCGAGAUUUGCGUAUUCUCUCUAGAUCUAUGGCGGUCUGAAGGUAUCGGCUCUGUUCUCUCGAAAUCUGAGGCUUACUCACAGAUCUGUCGAUUGAUGUUAGAUGAGGCAGGGUCCUAUCGAACACUGAAUGUUUG